rnacentral:rRNA from 1 species
CACGUAGGGGGCGAGCGUUGUCCGGAAUCAUUGGGCGUAAAGAGCUCGUAGGCGGCUCAGUAAGUCGGGUGUGAAACCCCCAGGCUCAACCUGGGGACGCCACCCGAUACUGCUGUGGCUAGAGUCCAGUAGGGGAGUGUGGAAUUCCCGGUGUAGCGGUGAAAUGCGCAGAUAUCAGGAAGAACACCCGUGGCGAAGGCGGCUCUCUGGGACGGUACUGACGCUGAGACGCGAAAGCGUGGGGAGCGAACAGG